AACCACAGCCAUAUCACCCUGCAGCCCAAGACCGGUUACUCACUGAAGCUAAGCAGGGCUGAGCCUGGUUAGUACCUGGAUGGGAGACCACUAGGGAACACUAGGUUGCUGUUGGAA
rnacentral:rRNA from 1 species